rnacentral:rRNA from 1 species
GACAGAGGUGCCAAGCGUUAGGCGGAAUCACUGGGCUUAAAGCGUGUGUAGGCGGAUCGUUAAGUACCUUGUGAAAUCCCAUGGCUUAACCAUGGAACUGCUUGGUAUACUGGCGGUCUUGAGCCACUUAGGGGCUACCGGAACAAAUGGUGGAGCGGUGAAAUGCGUAGAUAUCAUUUGGAACGCCAAUGGUGAAAACAGGUAGCUGGGAGUGUGCUGACGCUGAGACACGAAAGCCAGGGGAGCGAACGGG